GCCUCUGAUGAUGAAUAAACAAUUACUUUCGUUCUUCCGAGAUUUUAUAUGCGGAAAAAAUUUGGAGACCUGAACUGAAGAGGC